GGGUGGGGGUAAUCUUCACACUACCUGUCCACACAGGGUGAGGAAAGAGGGCAGAUGCUAUUACGAAGUAGCCAGGUCCCCGGAAAAAGCUGCUGGCUUAGGGGAAUGAGAUAUGUAUGGCUACUCCCCAGAGAAAUCCACGAUCAAGAUAUCACAGCUGUGUGAAGUCUGUGGCAUAGCACAGCAUUGGUCAUGUGACCCUGGGUGGGUCCUUUCCCAUCCUUUCAGCCUAGGCAUCCUCCACCUCCGAAGGACAGAGAGACUGUGGCUUUCCCUCCCACUACGACUAGUCUUUGGGUUGGGCGAGCUGAAAGACAUUGAAGGCACACAGAACUUCCGGAACAUUCCUCCUCGUCCAACAACAAACGCUCUUUGAACUCCUAGCCAGGCAUGCCCUCAUGGCCACUGUUUCUUCCAGCACUUAGUGUUACUAAGGGAGUGAUCAUGUCUCUAAGACUCCCAAACAAACAAGCUGCUGUGCACUGCCUGCUCUGUCAGGUAGCUCCAGAACUGAAAUACCUGCUGGCGAAAAGGGCGUCAUUUCUCACGCCGUUCUCCUUACGGUAGUCCCAGAGCUGUUUCUUGUUCCUUCCACUGGGGAGUUAGUCUCUGCUGUUCUACUUCUCUCCCCUGUUGGGACCUAACAUCACCCUAGAGAUUUCCCAUCUGUCGGGAGCUUCCUCUGUGACUUUGAGUAGACGAAGUUAUGACAUGGCUUUGGAGCAUAGGUUGGCAAACUUUCCCUGUGAAGGGACAGAUAGUAACUAUUUAGGCUCUGUGGGCCAUAUGGUCCCUGUUGCAACGCUCAGCUCUGCUGUAACAGUGGGAAAGCUGCCACACACAACAUGCAAACAGAUGAAUGUGGCCUCGUGCCAAUAAAACUUUAUUUAUAAAAACAGGCAGUGGGCCAGAUUCGACCCCUGGGCUACAGCAUGCCAAUUCCUACCCUGGAACAUUUGGCUAGCCUCGGGAGGGCCCACUUUUCCUUAGCGGAGGAAUAAGGAUCAACCUCACACCUAUGGUCACGCAGUCCUUCAAGGCACUUUCCUCAAGUCACAGGCUCUGUCCUUCAGGACUAUUGGCCGUAGGCCAGGUGUGGCUCAUUCACAGUGACCCUCAUGUUAGCCUUUGGAAUGUGGUCCUUAGGAGGUUGAGGCCCAGGCAACUCACUCAGCUACGGUGUAUGAAGGGAGGAGGUCCCCUUUUCAUGAAUUUACUAACUCCAGACCUCUCCAGUAAAUCCUGAAUCCACAGUCAGAAGCGGCUGGGGUGACAGGAUGCUGUGGCGAGAUGCCCGAGGAUCAGAAGGUAAGUCUAUCCCCAUGUUUCGGGACCCUGAGGCCUCAGGUAGCUCCACACAGGUCAGUUUACUCCUCAGUGUGGAAUGGCACAGUCACCUGCUGGCUCCUGGAGCUUCAGUGGGGAUCGGAUAUCGUCAGAGGGAGAUAAAAACUCAGAAACUCAUUAAUGGUGACUGUGGCUCCUUGCAAUGUUAGGAUUCCGAAGGCUUUCUAGAAAACACGAUUCUUUACAAGUAAUCGCCCUUUCGGGGGUUUAUCCGCAUGCCGCAGAGGCAAUCUGGAUUAAACCUUAGCUUUUGUCUUUAUACCUAAUGAAAAGCGGGCCUAAAACGCAUCCAAAGUGACAAGUGUUGAAUUAGAGCAUUUUGAGGUUUGCUUUCUUGGGAAUAAAUAUAGGACUUUUAAAAACAUCAGUGUCUUCUCCCUGAUGUAUUUUUAAGUUAAAAGAAAAAAAACCCUUUUUAAAAAAAUUUUUUGACAUAUUCUCAAUUCUUAAGAGGUUAGAGCUGAUAUGAAUGGCCAGUGUUUCUUGGCUCUGCUAUACACUUAGAAAUAAAACAAGCCUUCUUUCUUCCUGAUGGGAGCCCGCGAGUUGAUCGUCUCUGUUUUAUGAGAAGGAAAGGGAAGCAUUUAUAAGCCCAGCAAUGUGCUCAAUGGGGCAUCGGAAUACUUGGUCCCUCGUUGGUGGCUGUAGGGGGAGGCUUAGGAGGGAUGGUUCUGCUGAGGAAAUACAUCACUUGGGAUGGGCUUUGAGGUUUCCAAAGACUUGUGCCAUUUGCAGUUCACUCUCCCUGCUUCCUGUUUGCUACUGCAGAUGCGAGCCCUCAGCUCCCAGUUUCCGGUUCUGGUUGCCAUGCUGCUUAUCUGCUGCCACACUUCCCUGUUAGGAUGGUGGAGGACUCUUAUCCCUCUGGAACCGUAAGCCCCAAAUCUUCCUCCCGGGACCCCAAACCUACCUAAGACAACCGUAUUGAAGGAGACCAUCUCCUUGUCCUUGCCGUCAUUGUAGAAGGCGAGGUGCCACAGGCCCACAUCCAAGUACUGCACGAACACAGCCUCGUUCUGCACCAGGGUCUGGAUGCUCCGGCGUUCCCUGGGUGACUCGACCACACUCCACUUCUCCUUUCCGUCCAGGCGUUCCAUGAAGUCAUACUGUGGAGCGAGAGAGAGAGACAGGGCAAUGUGUAGAGCAAGUUCUGGACCUGUACCCUCAGGCAGCACUGCCAUCCUGCACAUCGGCCGAUGGAGAAGUACUUUUCACUACGCCCGUGUAAAAUAAAGUAAGCCGGAUAUGUUGCGGUCACAGCUAUCGGCUACCAUCCAU